rnacentral:lncRNA from 1 species
GCAGUGGCGUAGCCAGGGUUGAAAUGAUGUGGAUGCCUUCGCCGAGCGGAGCGAGGCGAAUUUUUUUUUUGAACUAUUUUAUGCAGAAAAUUAUAUUUUUUCAGACAUUGUUCCUGUAGGCACAUUUGCUCCCAUAGAAUCCGACACUGGUUAUAUAGAUUUUUGUUUAAUUUCAAAAUACCCACCAAUUCAUAUAAUUAUAUUUCAAACAUAAUUCUAAUGUUUUCUCGAAAUUCUCCAAAAGGAGAAACAUUAAUUUUUAUUAGUUAUUGCUCUUGUUCAUUGGUUACAUAAAAUAUGUGCAAUGCAGGGGACAUAGGAACUUUGUUCUUUUAUUGAAAAUAAAAUUAAUAUGUGGACCUAGAUAGGAACUGGAAUUUUCUGAUAAGCCUAGGAAUGGUCACACUCUAUUACAGAUUAGUUUUUUUCACGUCGUCGUUCAUUUCACAGGAAACGAUAUCAGGAUAUGGUGGUUUAGUUGUCAGUUAUGUUGUUAGUCAGUUGUAGAAGCCAU